UACGUAGGGUGCGAGCGUUGUCCGGAAUUAUUGGGCGUAAAGAGCUCGUAGGCGGUGUGUCGCGUCGGCCGUGAAAACCUGCAGCUUAACCGUGGGCUUGCGGUCGAUACGGGCAUCACUGGAGUUCGGCAGGGGAGACUGGAAUUCCUGGUGUAGCGGUGAAAUGCGCAGAUAUCAGGAGGAACACCGGUGGCGAAGGCGGGUCUCUGGGCCGACACUGACGCUGAGGAGCGAAAGCGUGGGGAGCGAACAGG
rnacentral:rRNA from 1 species